AGAUUGAACGCUGGCGGCAGGCCUAACACAUGCAAGUCGAACGGUAACAGGAAACAGCUUGCUGUUUCGCUGACGAGUGGCGGACGGGUGCGUAAUGUCUGGGAAACUGCCUGAUGGAGGGGGAUAACUACUGGAAACGGUAGCUAAUACCGCAUAACGUCGCAAGACCAAAGAGGGGGACCUUCGGGCCUCUUGCCAUCGGAUGUGCCCAGAUGGGAUUAGCUAGUAGGUGGGGUAACGGCUCACCUAGGCGACGAUCCCUAGCUGGUCUGAGAGGAUGACCAGCCACACUGGAACUGAGACACGGUCCAGACUCC
rnacentral:rRNA from 1 species